GACGAACGCUGGCGGCGUGCUUAACACAUGCAAGUCGAACGGAAAGGCCCUGCUUUUGUGGGGUGCUCGAGUGGCGAACGGGUGUGUAACACGUGAGUAUCCUGCCCUUGUCUUUGGGAUAACUUCAGGAAACUGGGGCUAAUACCGGAUAGGAGCUCCUGCUGCAUGGUGGGGGUUGGAAAGUUUCGGCGGUUGUGGAUGGACUCGCGGCUUAUCAGCUUGUUGGUGGGGUAGUGGCUUACCAAGGCUUUGACGGGUAGACUGCCUGAGAGGGUGAACGGCCACAUUGGGACUGAGAGACGGCCCAGACGCGUACGGGAGGCAGCAGGGGGGAAUAUUGCACAAUGGGCGGAAGCCUGAUGCAGCAACGCCGCGUGCGGGAAAACGGCCUACGGGGUGUAAACCGCUUUGGCCUGAGACGAAGCCUGAUUGACGGUAACGAGUAAAGAAGCACCGGCUAACUACGUG
rnacentral:rRNA from 1 species